UUACUUCAGCAAUACAUAUACAAAAAUUUAAACAUACAGAAAAGAUUAGCAUGGCCUCUACACAAAGAUAACACUCAAAUUCAGUAAGCAUUGCAUAUUUUA
rnacentral:snRNA from 1 species